GUUAUCGUAGCUUAAUUAAAGCAUGACACUGAAGAUGUUAAGAUGGGCCCUAGAAAGCCCCGAAAACA